UCGGGAAUAUUGGACAAUGGGCGAAAGCCUGAUCCAGCAACGCCGCGUGCGGGACGAAGGCCCUCGGGUCGUAAACCGCUGUCAGGAGGGAGGAACGGUGCGUGGUUAAGAGCUGCGUACUUUGACAGUACCUCCAGAGGAAGCCCCGGCUAACUCCGUGCCAGCAGCCGCGGUAAUACGGAGGGGGCGAGCGUUGUCCGGAAUUAUUGGGCGUAAAGAGCUCGUAGGCGGUCCGUUGCGUCUGCCGUGAAAACCCGGAGCUCAACUCCGGGCCUGCGGUGGAUACGGGCGGACUAGAGUCCGGGUAGGGGAGACUGGAAUUCCUGGUGUAGCGGUGGAAUGCGCAGAUAUCAGGAGGAACACCGGUGGCGAAGGCGGGUCUCGUGGGCCGGAAGCUGACGCUGAGGAGCGAAAGCGUGGGGAGCGAACAGGAUU
rnacentral:rRNA from 1 species